CGGAUCAGAUUCAAAUCGCCACAGUACGAGUAUUCAAAUUCAAGCUAGCUAGCCAUCCAGGCAGGCAUCAGAAUAAGUCGAGUUAUUGUGCGGAUACAUGCCAAACUUUGAUAUCCGGCUCAUGGGCAAUAUGCCCGCCAAUACAGCUGGUCUGUGGAAGCGUGUCACCUUCCUGCUGGCCCUGCCGGCCAUCGUCCUGUGCGCCGCGAACGCCUUCACCGGACACAAGCACGUGGAGCGGGAGCCGUUCGCCAAGUACGAGUACUUGAGGCGCCGGACCAAGCGAUUCCCAUGGGGAGAUGGCAAUCGCAGCUUGUUCCACAACGCCGAGGUGAAUGCCCUGCCCGAGGGCUACGAGGAUGAGGUGGCUGAGGAGGAUUAGCAGCGCCCAUUACCUAUUAUUUUACUCUUUAACUUAGUUUACUAGGAACCGAUGAUGUUUGGAUAAACUUUAUGAUGACCAACUGCGAUCGUUUGCCGAUUCCUUGCCCGUAAUAAAUUAAUCAUUGAGAUCUGAGUCAGUUAA
rnacentral:misc_RNA from 1 species